ACGAACGCUGGCGGCACGCCUAACACAUGCAAGUCGAACGCUCGUGGCAACACGGGAGUGGCGGACGGGUGAGUAACGCGUGGGAACCUGCCCAGGGGUGCGGGACAACUUCGGGAAACCGGAGCUAAUACCGCAUGAUGCCGAGAGGCUAAAGAUUUAUCGCCUUUGGAGGGGCCCGCGUCGGAUUAGGUAGUUGGUGGGGUAACGGCCUACCAAGCCUUCGAUCCGUAGCUGGUCUGAGAGGAUGGCCAGCCACACUGGGACUGAGACACGGCCCAGACUCCUACGGGAGGCAGCAGUGGGGAAUCUUGGACAAUGGGGGCAACCCUGAUCCAGCGAUGCCGCGUGGGUGAUGAAGGCCUUCGGGUUGUAAAGCCCUUUCGGCGGGGACGAUAGUGACGGUACCCGCAGAAGAAGCCUCGGCUAACUCCGU
rnacentral:rRNA from 1 species